rnacentral:rRNA from 1 species
CUAGCAUAUCAAUAAGCGGAGGAAAAGAAACCAACAGGGAUUGCUCUAGUAACGGCGAGUGAAGCAGCAAUAGCUCAAAUUUGAAAUCUGGCGUCUUCGGCGUCCGAGUUGUAAUUUGUAGAGGAUGCUUCUGAGUAACCACCGACCUAAGUUCCUUGGAACAGGACGUCAUAGAGGGUGAGAAUCCCGUAUGCGGUCGGAAAGGUGCUCUAUACGUAGCUCCUUCGACGAGUCGAGUUGUUUGGGAAUGCAGCUCUAAAUGGGAGGUAAAUUUCUUCUAAAGCUAAAUAUUGGCCAGAGACCGAUAGCGCACAAGUAGAGUGAUCGAAAGAUGAAAAGCACUUUGGAAAGAGAGUUAAAAAGCACGUGAAAUUGUUAAAAGGGAAGGGAUUGCAACCAGACUUGCUCGCGGUGUUCCGCCGGUCUUCUGACCGGUCUACUCGCCGCGUUGCAGGCCAGCAUCGUCUGGUGCCGCUGGAUAAGACUUGAGGAAUGUAGCUCCCUCGGGAGUGUUAUAGCCUCUUGUGAUGCAGCGAGCGCCGGGCGAGGUCCGCGCUUCGGCUAGGAUGCUGGCGUAAUGGUCGUAAUCCGCCCGUCUUGAAACACGGACCAAGGAGUCUAACAUCUAUGCGAGUGUUCGGGUGUCAAACCCCUACGCGUAAUGAAAGUGAACGGAGGUGAGAACCGCAAGGUGCAUCAUCGACCGAUCCUGAUGUCUUCGGAUGGAUUUGAGUAAGAGCAUAGCUGUUGGGACCCGAAAGAUGGUGAACUAUGCCUGAAUAGGGUGAAGCCAGAGGAAACUCUGGUGGAGGCUCGCAGCGGUUCCUGACGUGCAAACCCAUCGUCAAAUUUGGGUAUAGGGGCGAAAGACUAAUCGAACCAUCUAGUAGCUGGUUCCUGCGA